rnacentral:rRNA from 1 species
UACGAAGGGGGCUAGCGUUGUUCGGAUUUACUGGGCGUAAAGCGCACGUAGGCGGAUCGUUAAGUCGGGGGUGAAAUCCUGGAGCUCAACUCCAGAACUGCCUUCGAUACUGGCGAUCUCGAGUCCGGAAGAGGUGAGUGGAACUGCGAGUGUAGAGGUGAAAUUCGUAGAUAUUCGCAAGAACACCAGUGGCGAAGGCGGCUCACUGGCCCGGAACUGACGCUGAGGUGCGAAAGCGUGGGGAGCAAACAGG